CUUGACAAUUCUGCACCACUUAACUAUGGAGAUGAGCUACAGGGUUUCCUGUUGUUUGCCAGCAGAGCGUACAUUUUUGGACAUUGCUUCUGCAGUCAAAAUGUGUGAAGAGGGUUUUGCUAAAUCAUCAAUCCUUUGCCGACAAGUAGCUGCUUCAGCAGACACUGGUGUUGACACUGCUGAAUUCCAUAGGAUCCGUGGAGACUGCGAUGGGUCUGACUGCAUGGCCAGACCCCCACAUGUGGUGCAGAAAGCACAUUAGCGGGUGUCGUGUGGACGCAAUGAUCCAUAUGCUUGAGGUUGAGCGGGGGGAGCAGGGCAGAGCAAUGGGUUAUUUGAAUGAGGAGUGCGCUUGCUGCUUUGUUACCCUCC